GCCAGGGUGGCGUAGUGGUUAGCGCAUGUGCCUCGUGAACACGAGACCUGGGUUCGAACUCCAGCCUUGGUA